UUACAUACACAAGCUUAUUCCAAGUGGUUUGACCUAAAAGUCAAUAUUUUGAAGUCAAAGUUCCAAGGAGCACAACUCCAUAUAUUCUCAACAUUUUUGAAUGCUUCUUUUUUCAUAUGACUCUUAUUAAAAUCCUCUACAACUUCCAUUUAUAUGAAAAGAGCCAACUAUGCUUGGAGGAUCAUUAAAACUUUGGAGACAGUAUAUGUCAUUUGUGGAGUUAGUGAAAU
rnacentral:lncRNA from 1 species